GGAUGUGAGGGCGAUCUGGCUGCAACAUCUGCCACCCCACUGAUCGCCAGGGUUGAUUCGGCUGAUCUGGCUGGCUAGGCGGGUGUCCCCUUCCUCCCUCACCGCUCCAUGUGCGUUCCUCCCGAGCUACAUGCUCACUCUCAGUCGAAAAGAAUGACCUUCUCCACUAGAAGAGGAGGACCAGUCUUCGGUCAAGGGUAUAGGGUAGCUGCGCUCCCCUGCUAGAACCUCCAAACAAGCUCCCCAAGUGCUACUUUAACAACUGAGGCAAUGUCCAAUCUUAAGACACAGUAAGAUUCUCCCAAUUACACACAGACACAGUCAUGGAUGUUUUG
rnacentral:snRNA from 1 species